UGUUUUUUUUGGUUUUUUAAAAUGUUCGAGUCGUCCU
rnacentral:sRNA from 1 species